UAACCAGACGUCUGUCUUUCACAGUCCUCAGUCGUCAGACGCCUACAUCUCCCCUCGCAUACAUAAUACGCCUUCUUGUGGUCGGUGUUUUCUUCUUCAUCAUGGUGAUGAUACUCUGCUUCUGGAGAAGACAUAAAGAAGAGAAUCUACAGAAUCUUCAUUCUACAGAAGAGAAUCCCAAAAAGCACAGCUUCUCAUAACUUACAGUGCUGCUCCAACCAUUUAUUCAAGAGGGAAACCAGAGAGGAGCUGAUAAUGUGAAAUCCAGCAUUGUAACGCAUCAAGUAACACAUUAAUCUUUCUCACCUUAUUUACAUGAAUUGAUGUAUAAAAAGGGAAUUAUUAAAAUGCACAUUAUGCUAAAUGGACACCCUGUGAGAAUCUUGUGUCCUGGGUAUCCCCAUCAUUCAUGCAUCCAGAGCCAGGAUGCUUCUCCUUGCAGCUUCUGUUUAAUCUUAGAAGCUAAACUGUGUCUUAAUCUAAAACUUGGUAAAUAUUUCUCGUACUUUGACUAAUUUGUUUGUUCAGUUUAUAAAUAUAUGUAAAAUG